rnacentral:rRNA from 1 species
ACGGGAGGGAGCAGUGGGGAAUAUUGGACAAUGGGCGAAAGCCUGAUCCAGCGACGCCGCGUGAGUGAAGAAGUAUUUCGGUAUGUAAAGCUCUAUCAGCAGGGAAGAUAGUGAAGGUACCUGACUAAGAAGCCCCGGCUAACUACGUGCCAGCAGCCGCGGUAAUACGUAGGGGGCAAGCGUUAUCCGGAUUUACUGGGUGUAAAGGGAGCGUAGACGGUAUGGCAAGUCUGAUGUGAAAACCCAGGGCUCAACCCUGGGACUGCAUUGGAAACUGUCAAACUAGAGUGCAGGAGAGGUAAGUGGAAUUCCUAGUGUAGCGGUGAAAUGCGUAGAUAUUAGGAGGAACACCAGUGGCGAAGGCGGCUUACUGGACUGUAACUGACGUUGAGGCUCGAAAGCGUGGGGAGCAAACAGGAUUAGAUACCCUGGUA